rnacentral:lncRNA from 1 species
UUUAAUUCCAAAUCAGAUCUAGAAUUUUGGGGCAGAGUAGAGAGGUCCUUGGUGAGUGGUGAACGAAAAUUCUAAGUGUGCUAAGUGUUGAGGCUGACUUGGUUUAGCAAGGGAGGGAGGAGUUACUCUCUUUGAAGAAGAAUUUAAGGUGUACAAGUCUUCAAGAGGUAAGGGGAGCUAACUCAAACUUUGGUUUUAGAAUUUCAUGGAUGUGGGUAUGAUUUCAGUUGCUUGAAUCUUGGAUAUGAUGGGCUGAAUGGAGAUUUAUUUGGUUAAAUGUUUGGUAUGAUUUAAAGGAGAUGAUACAAAUGGAAUUUUUUUACCAUAUCUUUGGUCUAUGGAUUUUGUAUGAACUUUAUGAUGAAAAAUUGAUGGAUAUAUGUUGGAUUGAAGGUGGAUUUUCUUUCUAACAUGUUGAUAUACAAGUAUAUGAAGUUUUUAAUGUAUUAAGUGGUGAAUUGGGAUGAGAAACAUGAGACUUAUGCCUCACUUUUUAUCAAAUACGAAAAUGGUCAAAUUUGAAUGGUUGAUAAAUUUUGGAUGGAUGGGUUGAUUUGUUGUAUGGAGAUAUUUAGCAAGAUGAAAGUAUGAUGAGUAAAUCAUCAAAAUUUUGAUAUUUCAAAGUUUAUGAGAUGGAAAAUGGUAGAUCUAAAGGAGUGUCUUGUUGAGUAAAAAUUGAUGAUGAACUUUGAGAAAUUUACUUAAAUAUUGAAAAAUUUCAAAUCUAUUUUUGAUUAUGGAUGAAUGAAUAUGAAUGUUGUAGUGAGAUCUUUGGGCUAAGAAUAAUCUUCACUAGGAUGAAAAUUUUGAGCAUGUGUUAAUGGAAAGGAGAUGUAUUAUAAUUUGGAUUGAACAUUGAAUUUUCAUAUGGAUGUUAUGGUAUAAGUUGUUAGGAGAUUUUAAAUUGUCUAAAACCUUGAAAAUCAUGGAAAACAUAGGGGUUUUCUCUUAGAUAUUUUUGGUGUACGAAAAUUUCAUAUGUUGAAGGGUAAUGAGCUAAGAUUCAUGAUAUGUAUGAGGGGUUAGAUGUGUUCUCUAUAUUUUAGAUGAAAUUAAUAGUAGAAAUUCUCUUGAAAUAUGGGUUGAAUUGGUGAAAAUGGAAUAUGAUUAUAUAUAAUAUUUUUGUUGUUGUUAGAAAGAUUAUUUUUAUGACAAUCCAUGAAGUUUUCAGAUUUGUUACACAUAAAUAAAUCUUGUUGUUUAGUGCUGUAAAAAUACUGUUACUGUAUUAAAAAUUUCUUGCUGUUACUGUAUUUAAAUUGUUUGCUGUUUGUGCUGUAAAAANAAAUUUCUUGCUGUUACUGUAUUUAAAUUGUUUGCUGUUUGUGCUGUAAAAAUACUGUUACUGUAUUGAAAUUUGUUGCUGUUACUGUAUUUAAAUUGCUUGCUGUUUGGUGCUGUUUGGGUGCUGUUACAGUAUUUAAAUUGCUUGCUGUUUGGUUUUAAAAUAUGUUAAUUUAAAUAUAUCUUAUAUUUUGAUAAAUGGAUGGUGUGUGUGAGUUAUUUUGGGAUUUGAUGUAACAUAAUUUGGGGUUGUUUGAAUGUUUAAAAAUCUCGGUUGAAAGGUUAUUAUUAUGUGAUAAAUUAUUGGUGAAUAUGUGUAAUUUUGAUUGGAUUGGUCUUGUUAUAUGAGUGGUGGAUAGUAAGCGUUGCGGUUGUUGGGCCGGAGAAGCUCUGGAAGAGUGAUGGUAAGCAACCCUACACACGGGUGAUGUGUGUAACCGCCCGGGGAAUCUCUUGCAUUGAUGCAAGAGUGAUGGGGGUGACGUGGGAUACUAGUCCGGUGAAUCUCGUAUAAAUUAAUAACUGCCCGGGGAAGCUCUAAUAAGAGUGAUGGGAGUUCACGCUAUGCAUAUUGGUGUAUGCAUUCUAAUUUGGUGUUUGAUGCAUAUUGGUGUAUGCAUUUUGAUAUGUUGUUUGAUGCAUAUUGGUGUAUGCAUUCUGAAUUGGUGUUUGAUACAUAUUGGUGUAUGUUUAUCGUAAUGAUUGUUGGCUCACCCUUGCUUGUGUGUGCAUGUGAAUGCGAUGAUCGUAUAAUGCGUGAUGUUAUACG